GUGUUUCAAUCAAAAAGGAAACCUUAAAACACACAUGAACAUUCACACUGACCGGGACACUACAGAUGUCGAUUCAAAACAUCAACAAUGAAACCACAUGAUGACGUUGAAAGAGGAGAAAGAAUUACUUAACGAGAUUGAAGAGGAAGAUCAAUAUGAGAAUCUUAAAGUCCACACAAGAAUUCACACUGGAAAAAAGCCUUUUUCCUGCCAACAGUGUGGAAAAAGUUUCA